UUUUUAUCUGUGUCAGACUUAACUGAGUAUUUGAAUGGGUCACUGUUUGGAAUGAAGUGUGCAUACGCUGUCUAUUUUAGGACAUCUUCAGGGAUGUAUGGACACUCAGUCAUCUGCUCCUCUUGUUGUGUUUUCAGGGAUGAAGAGAAGAUGGCUACUGGAUGUUCUCUGGACUGGAUCCUGUAUCAGCAGCAGCAGUGGAAGAUCCAUUUUAGAUCUGGCUAUCAUCAAUAUCAUUUAUUAAUAUCAGAAUACAGACCUUUAGACUAAUGUGAGGAGUGUUGUCCAGUGUUCCUCAGCCCCUUCUGGACAGGUACAUAAUGGGACACUUCACGUUUCCUCAGUCCCUUCUGGACAGGUACAUAAUGGGACAGUUCACGUUUCCUCAGCCCCUUCUGGACAGGUACAUAAUGGGACAGUCCACUUUUCAUCACAUCCCCCAUGGAAAGUUACAGUCCACUUUAACCACCAACACCCCUUGCCUCCAUAACGUACAUGGGACAGUCUCACAUUUCUUCUAGAAUAAGACAUGACAGUCAUCCACUCCAGUUCACCCAAUGGGAUUCCAACAGAAUGACUUAUUCUACUGCACAUGUCUAAAGCACUGCCUUUCUGUUUAUGACAUCACACUGAGCUGCUGAUGUACUUAUUGAAUAUGACACAUGUACUUCUAUUUUCUAAUUCACUAUAUUAUGCUUUUAUUGAAACUUGAAGAAUGUUGAAGAUUUCUGAGGGCACUUCAAUAUGCCACUAUUUCAACAACAUAUAAUAAGCCUGUAUAAUUGAGACAUGUUUACCUUCUCGUCGUAUCAAAUGUGACAAUAUGACAGUACAUUGCAGCACUUGUCAGGUCGCCAUUGUAAACAAUGAUUUGUCUCACCUGGAUAAUUAAAUGUUAGAUUAAACAAAUAAUACAUUGUUCCUCGCCGGUUUUGCAAACCAGUUGACAUCUCUAUCCAAACAGUAAAUGUUGACAUGUAU
ensembl:lncRNA